GGUUAAGCGACUAAGCGUACACGGUGGAUGCCCUGGCAGUCAGAGGCGAUGAAGGGCGUGCUAAUCUGCGAUAAGCGCCGGUAAGGUGAUAUGAACCGUUAUAACCGGCGAUACCCGAAUGGGGAAACCCAGUGUGAUUCGUCACACUAUCAUUAACUGAAUCCAUAGGUUAAUGAGGCGAACCGGGGGAACUGAAACAUCUAAGUACCCCGAGGAAAAGAAAUCAACCGAGAUUCCCCCAGUAGCGGCGAGCGAACGGGGAGGAGCCCAGAGCCUGAAUCAGCAUGUGUGUUAGUGGAAGCGUCUGGAAAGGCGCGCGAUACAGGGUGACAGCCCCGUACACAAAAGCGCAUGUGCUGUGAGCUCGAUGAGUAGGGCGGGACACGUGGUAUCCUGUCUGAAUAUGGGGGGACCAUCCUCCAAGGCUAAAUACUCCUGACUGACCGAUAGUGAACCAGUACCGUGAGGGAAAGGCGAAAAGAACCCCGGCGAGGGGAGUGAAAAAGAACCUGAAACCGUGUACGUACAAGCAGUGGGAGCACAGGUUUACCUGUGUGACUGCGUACCUUUUGUAUAAUGGGUCAGCGACUUAUAUUCUGUAGCAAGGUUAACCGAAUAGGGGAGCCGGAGGGAAACCGAGUCUUAACCGGGCGUUAAGUUGCAGGGUAUAGACCCGAAACCCGGUGAUCUAGCCAUGGGCAGGUUGAAGGUUGGGUAACACUAACUGGAGGACCGAACCGACUAAUGUUGAAAAAUUAGCGGAUGACCUGUGGCUGGGGGUGAAAGGCCAAUCAAACCGGGAGAUAGCUGGUUCUCCCCGAAAGCUAUUUAGGUAGCGCCUCGUGAAUUCAUCUCCGGGGGUAGAGCACUGUUUCGGCUAGGGGGCCAUCCCGGCUUACCAACCCGAUGCAAACUGCGAAUACCGGAGAAUGUUAUCACGGGAGACACACGGCGGGUGCUAACGUCCGUCGUGAAGAGGGAAACAACCCAGACCGCCAGCUAAGGUCCCAAAGUCAUGGUUAAGUGGGAAACGAUGUGGGAAGGCCCAGACAGCCAGGAUGUUGGCUUAGAAGCAGCCAUCAUUUAAAGAAAGCGUAAUAGCUCACUGGUCGAGUCGGCCUGCGCGGAAGAUGUAACGGGGCUAAACCAUGCACCGAAGCUGCGGCAGCGAACGUAUCACUUAAAGCGAUUCAGCGGGUUACGAUUGACGGAGCGAAGCGACGUCAAAGCGUAUACAAAGUCGAGUCGGUUUAAGGAUACGUUCGUUGGGUAGGGGAGCGUUCUGUAAGCCUGCGAAGGUGGCCUGUGAGGGUUGCUGGAGGUAUCAGAAGUGCGAAUGCUGACAUAAGUAACGAUAAAGCGGGUGAAAAGCCCGCUCGCCGGAAGACCAAGGGUUCCUGUCCAACGUUAAUCGGGGCAGGGUGAGUCGACCCCUAAGGCGAGGCCGAAAGGCGUAGUCGAUGGGAAACGGGUUAAUAUUCCCGUACUUGGUGUUACUGCGAAGGGGGGACGGAGAAGGCUAUGUUGGCCGGGCGACGGUUGUCCCGGUUUAAGCGUGUAGGUGUGUGUUCCAGGUAAAUCCGGUUCACUUUAACACUGAGGCGUGAUGACGAGGCACUACGGUGCUGAAGUAACAAAUGCCCUGCUUCCAGGAAAAGCCUCUAAGCAUCAGGUAACAUCAAAUCGUACCCCAAACCGACACAGGUGGUCAGGUAGAGAAUACCAAGGCGCUUGAGAGAACUCGGGUGAAGGAACUAGGCAAAAUGGUGCCGUAACUUCGGGAGAAGGCACGCUGACACGUAGGUGAAGUGAUUUACUCACGGAGCUGAAGUCAGUCGAAGAUACCAGCUGGCUGCAACUGUUUAUUAAAAACACAGCACUGUGCAAACACGAAAGUGGACGUAUACGGUGUGACGCCUGCCCGGUGCCGGAAGGUUAAUUGAUGGGGUCAGCGCAAGCGAAGCUCCUGAUCGAAGCCCCGGUAAACGGCGGCCGUAACUAUAACGGUCCUAAGGUAGCGAAAUUCCUUGUCGGGUAAGUUCCGACCUGCACGAAUGGCGUAAUGAUGGCCAGGCUGUCUCCACCCGAGACUCAGUGAAAUUGAACUCGCUGUGAAGAUGCAGUGUACCCGCGGCAAGACGGAAAGACCCCGUGAACCUUUACUAUAGCUUGACACUGAACAUUGAGCCUUGAUGUGUAGGAUAGGUGGGAGGCUUUGAAGUGUGGACGCCAGUCUGCAUGGAGCCGACCUUGAAAUACCACCCUUUAAUGUUUGAUGUUCUAACGUGGACCCGUUACCCGGGUUGCGGACAGUGUCUGGUGGGUAGUUUGACUGGGGCGGUCUCCUCCUAAAGAGUAACGGAGGAGCACGAAGGUUGGCUAAUCCUGGUCGGACAUCAGGAGGUUAGUGCAAUGGCAUAAGCCAGCUUGACUGCGAGCGUGACGGCGCGAGCAGGUGCGAAAGCAGGUCAUAGUGAUCCGGUGGUUCUGAAUGGAAGGGCCAUCGCUCAACGGAUAAAAGGUACUCCGGGGAUAACAGGCUGAUACCGCCCAAGAGUUCAUAUCGACGGCGGUGUUUGGCACCUCGAUGUCGGCUCAUCACAUCCUGGGGCUGAAGCAGGUCCCAAGGGUAUGGCUGUUCGCCAUUUAAAGUGGUACGCGAGCUGGGUUUAGAACGUCGUGAGACAGUUCGGUCCCUAUCUGCCGUGGGCGCUGGAGAACUGAGGGGGGCUGCUCCUAGUACGAGAGGACCGGAGUGGACGCAUCACUGGUGUUCGGGUUGUCAUGCCAAUGGCACUGCCCGGUAGCUAAAUGCGGAAGAGAUAAGUGCUGAAAGCAUCUAAGCACGAAACUUGCCCCGAGAUGAGUUCUCCCUGAGACUUAGAGUCUCCUGAAGGAACGUUGAAGACGACGACGUUGAUAGGCCGGGUGUGUAAGCGCAGCGAUGCGUUGAGCUAACCGGUACUAAUGAACCGUGAGGCUUAACCUU
rnacentral:rRNA from 9 species